rfam:Zea mays cultivar B73 chromosome 9, whole genome shotgun sequence.
GGCCAGUGACUUGAAUUAAUUGUCCGUACCAUCUGAGGCCAAGCAGCAGCUGGUCUACUGAUGCAAUUUUCUCUGAGGCCU